AUUCACGGCUCGCGGCGCUUUAGCUACUCGGAGGCGGAGCGCGAGAGUAACAGGGCUGCACGCGCCUUCCUACGUGCGCUAGGCUGGGACUGGGGACCCGACGGCGGCGACAGCGGCGAGGGGAGCGCUGGAGAAGGCGAGCGGGCAGCGCCGGGAGCCGGAGAUGCGGCGGCCGGAAGCGGCGCGGAGUUUGCCGGAGGGGACGGUGCCGCCAGAGGUGGAGGAGCCGCCGCCCCUCUGUCACCUGGAGCAACUGUGGCGCUGCUCCUCCCCGCUGGCCCAGAGUUUCUGUGGCUCUGGUUCGGGCUGGCCAAGGCCGGCCUGCGCACUGCCUUUGUGCCCACCGCCCUGCGCCGGGGCCCCCUGCUGCACUGCCUCCGCAGCUGCGGCGCGGGCGCGCUGGUGCUGGCGCCAGAGUUUCUGGAGUCCCUGGAGCCGGACCUGCCCGCCCUGAGAGCCAUGGGGCUCCACCUGUGGGCUGCAGGCCCAGGAACCCACCCUGCUGGAAUUAGCGAUUUGCUGGCUGAAGUGUCCGCUGAAGUGGAUGGGCCAGUGCCAGGAUACCUCUCUUCCCCCCAGAGCAUAACAGACACGUGCCUGUACAUCUUCACCUCUGGCACCACGGGGCUCCCCAAGGCUGCUCGGAUCAGUCAUCUGAAGAUCCUGCAAUGCCAGGGCUUCUAUCAGCUGUGUGGUGUCCACCAGGAAGAUGUGAUCUACCUCGCCCUCCCACUCUACCACAUGUCCGGUUCCCUGCUGGGCAUCGUGGGCUGCAUGGGCAUUGAGCAAGGCAGAACGUGGCCAUAAGGUCCGGCUGGCAGUGGGCAGCGGGCUGCGCCCAGAUACCUGGGAGCGUUUUGUGCGGCGCUUCGGGCCCCUGCAGGUGCUGGAGACAUAUGGACUGACAGAGGGCAACGUGGCCACCAUCAACUACACAGGACAGCGAGGCGCUGUGGGGCGUGCUUCCUGGCUUUACAAGGUGAGGGGCAGAGAGGAAACUGAAAACCCGUGGAACAGCAGAGGGCUGGCAGGAGAGGGGGCUCAUGUGACUGCAAUGAUCCAGUACCCAGGUCUCCCUUUCCCCAGCAUAUCUUCCCCUUCUCCUUGAUUCGCUAUGAUGUUACCACAGGAGAGCCAAUUCGGGACCCCCGGGGGCACUGUAUGGCCACAUCUCCAGGUUGGUGGUGUUCUGGUGGGGUGGGCGGGGUGCUGAAGCUGGCACAGGAGGACUGGAAUUGGAGACUGGGGUGGAUGGGGGCAGAAGGCUCUGGGAAAGGUGACACCACUCCUGACCCUGGUGACUCUGCCAGGUGAGCCAGGGCUGCUGGUGGCCCCGGUAAGCCAGCAGUCCCCAUUCCUGGGCUAUGCUGGCGGGCCAGAGCUGGCCCAGGGGAAGUUGCUAAAGGAUGUCUUCCGGCCUGGGGAUGUUUUCUUCAACACUGGGGACCUGCUGGUCUGCGAUGACCAAGGUUUUCUCCGCUUCCAUGAUCGUACUGGAGACACCUUCAGGUAUCUGUCCAUAACUGGUUUUUCAUCCUGGACAUCUGAUCUCUGUGAUCCAAAGCUUCUGAACCUCAACUCUCUAAUCUGCCACCUCAACCUGGGUCCUCAGCUAAUCUCUCAUUCUCAGAUCUCACCAUUUCAUCCCUGUGACACUGACCUCUGACCUCAUCUCCCCACCAAGCCCAUAAGGCCCUGACCCCUGACUCCCAGUUUCAGAUCUCUGCUCUCUGACAGGUGGAAGGGGGAGAAUGUGGCCACAACCGAGGUGGCAGAGGUCUUCGAGGCCCUGGAUUUUCUUCAGGAGGUGAACGUCUAUGGAGUCACUGUGCCAGGUGCCUAGGCAUGGAAGGUGGGGGAGGCACCCAGCCACCACCCCGAAUUGGUAAUACUUGGGCGCAGGGAGCACGAGGCCUUCGUGGUGGUCAGCCAUGGAGGGGCUUACUCUGUCUCCCACACCCACCAGGGCAUGAAGGCAGGGCUGGAAUGGCAGCCCUAGUUCUGCGUCCCCCCCACUCUUUGGACCUUAUGCAGCUCUACACCCACGUGUCUGAGAACUUGCCACCUUAUGCCUGGCCCCGAUUCCUCAGGCUCCAGGAGUCUUUGGCCACCACAGAGACCUUCAAACAGCAGAAAGUUCGGAUGGCAAAUGAGGGCUUCGACCCCAGCACCCUGUCUGACCCACUGUACGUUCUGGACCAGGCUGUAGGUGCCUACCUGCCCCUCACAACUGCCCGGUACAGCGCCCUCCUGGCAGGAAACCUUCGAAUCUGAGAACUUCCACACCUGAGGCACCUGAGGGAGGGACUCUGUGGGGUGGGGGCCAUUGCAGGUGUACUGGGCUGUCAGGGAUCUUUUCUAUACCAGAACUGCGGUCACUAUUUUGUAAUAAAUGU
rnacentral:sRNA from 1 species